GAAAUGCGAUACGUAGUGUGAAUUGCAGAAUUCCGUGAACCAUCGAAACUUUGAACGCAUAUUGCGCCCGCGUCCUCGGACAAGGGCAUGUCUGCCUCAGCGUCGGCGUACCCCCUCACAAUCCUUUUUCCUCGGAAGAAGGCCUUGUGGACCUGGUCGUCUCGGAGUGGGUUGUUACCAACCCCUCAUUCCGGGUCGGCUGAAGCCCAGAGCGCUUGAGCGGAGGCCCCGAUCACAGGGCAACGGCUUGGUAGGUUGGUCACCCAACACACGCCCCGCCGUUUGCCCCAGGAGCCACCGGGAGCCUUACAAAACCACAUCUCACAUUUCGACCUGAGAUCAGGCAAGACUACCCGCUGAACUUAA
rnacentral:misc_RNA from 1 species